rnacentral:rRNA from 1 species
UACGUAGGGUGCAAGCGUUAAUCGGAAUUACUGGGCGUAAAGCGUGCGCAGGCGGUUCGUUGUGUCCGAUGUGAAAGCCCCGGGCUCAACCUGGGAAUGGCAUUGGAAACUGGCGGACUCGAGUGUGGCAGAGGGGGGUGGAAUUCCGCGUGUAGCAGUGAAAUGCGUAGAGAUGCGGAGGAACACCGAUGGCGAAGGCAGCCCCCUGGGCUAACACUGACGCUCAGGCACGAAAGCGUGGGGAGCAAACAGG